ensembl:lncRNA
CAUAAAAGCAGGACAAAGAUGAGCUGCUGCCAAGUAGUUCACUGCCUGGCAAGGACAAUAGGAUGUGAUAUGACUAAUCCACGGAUUCCAGGGAGGAAACGACACGCCGUGGAAAGCCUCUGAGGCUGUGAAUCCCACAGAAGAUCAGCGAUGUGGAGUCCACCCCUGAAGGAGAGACAGUCGUUUUACAAGCUGGGCACAUAUUCUAAUGCCCGUGUGACUGUCCUUUGGGACAGAUUGUCACUCUGACGGGAGUUCAUUGCGCAUUUGAGACGAGACGAAUGCUGACGGACUGGAAGAGAUGAGGACAACACAUCAUGUUCACUCAGUUGACACAGCUCCUUAAGCUGCUACAGCACAAAUAUGUGUAAAACAUAAAUCAGCUGUCCACAUCCUUUCAGUGUCAGUCGCCUUUAGCGCAACGAGAGGCGGCCGGCCUUGUGAAUUCCUGACAAUUAUAGCACCGGGGUGGGCCGCAACCCACCAUGAAAUCAGCCGUUCAGGAUGCCCGGACAAAAGAUGCCGGGGAGGUAAAGCCUAGAUCCUGUCCAGACAAUGCCCCGCUUCCCCCUGCUGCACCAAUCAAAACACAUGCCAUUAUAAGGCAGCCGGGCGAGGGCCUGCAGGCAAAGACGAGGAGAAAGGAGAGGGAAGGUGACAAAAACAAGAGAGAAAAGGAGGAGGAGGAAGAGGAGGAGGCAUGAAGACAACAUGGCAUCUAAUAAAGAGAUGUCUGUUUUCACCGCCUUCGCCACCUUUGUUUGGUCUUUUGUCCUGUUCUCGUACCCGUGGCUCUGCUGACUGCAUUGACUCUACUCUCCACUGCUCUUAAUAAAAGCCUUUAAGUGGAAUGGAGAGCCGUCCUGAGUGGCUGAUACUGCGCUCUGAUGAACUAAAGGGACUGGAGCUUGCUGGUUGGGAGCAGUGAACUCGGUCUUCCACUGGUGCUCUCUAACAGUGUCUCUAAUCCAUUUAGGUUGAGGGCUGGCAGAGGCUGAGGUCUGACAAAGCACAGCUCUGUCUCUGUGAUCCGGCCCACUGAGUCGUAAGUUUUUACAGAUGUGGAGCACAAAUGGGCAUGCAGUUAGCCCAGACUGGGAAGGCUGACUAACUGGACACAGGGUGCUAAAUCUGCUUCUCAACAACUUCCUGAUUAAUCUUUCACGUCUGCUUUCCGAACUGACCUACCCAAAGCACGGUGAACUCAGACAGCCGCGGCCUGCUGGGGCAGGCAGCCAAGCAUCUUAUCAGCCCCGAUGUUGUCUUUCUUGGUUUCAAUCCCAGUGCUUUCCAGAAGAAGAGGAGGGCCCGACGAAGAAUGCAAUUUCUUUUGACUCGCAUUUCCACUCGAGCAGUUGUCAUGCUCGUGCCUUCAAACAAACCACUGCAAAAUGUGGAAAAAUGUCUCCGAUCAGACGAGUCGCAGCAGCGGCGGCGCGGGUACGGCAGAAAUUAUGUGAGACACAUCAAAGCAGACGGGCUGAAGUUGUCUUUGAUGAUAGGCGGUUUAUCUAGAUUAUGUUAUGGCAGACGAAUACAAAAAAGAUUUACACAACAUACGCUGAAACAGAUGUUAGCAGUAUGAGUUACCAUGGGAGUGCCCCUUUCUUUCAUUUUCCAGUCAAGAAAAUAAGUUACAGGGGUGUCAUGGUGAAUGACCCCACCCCUGCAGUUUAGUGCUCGACUGAGUUCGAUUUUGCUUGAACAAGGCCAAAUUCAAACUUGGAAUGAGAACAGCAUCCUCUACUGUACUCCUGGUAAAUCGCACAGACACCGAGCUGCAGCAGCAUUUUUUUUCUUUUUUUACUUUAAGCUGUACCCAUGAACUAAGAAACACACCCACUACAGUUGGGUGUAAGUCAAAACCAAGAUGAGUGACUGUGACUGGGAAACACACACAAACACACAAAGUGGACAAGGACGUGCUAACUAGCUGAAUAAAAUGGGUGUAUGUUCGGCAGCACUUUCCCUGUGCUAUUUCCUGGCCACCUGUGUGCCAGCUAGCAUGAAUAGGAAAGUAUUGUGCUUCUCUAUUUUUUACCAUCUCCCACAGUACUCUUUCCUCCCACUCCUCCUCCUCUCAGAGCACUCCAGCACAGACUAGGUCAGACUCCAUUUGAGAAAAACUGUGACCCACGCUAGUCAUUUGGCCAAACAUUUCCAAUAAAAUGGUUGAAUCAUGUGUGGGCUGUCUUUUUUUUAAACUUUCAGUUCAGUCCAGUGUGCCUCAUAGCCCCAGCAUUUCAUGUGAACCAUAAAUAGUUGAAAUGUUAAGGA